GGCCCCCUAGCUCAGUGGUAGAGCGUGAGAUUCCAGCACAGACGGUCGGCUCAGUGUUCCUUGAGUCGUUCGUCUGUGGCACUUCCUCAAGGUCAUCCGUUCAAUCCGGGUGGGGGUCA